GACAGGGGUCCCGAGCGUUAGGCGGAAUCACUGGGCUUAAAGCGUGUGUAGGCGGAUCGUUAAGUGCCUUGUGAAAUCCCACGGCUCAACCGUGGAACUGCUGGGCAUACUGCCGAUCUUGAGCCACUUAGGGGCAACCGGAACAAACGGUGGAGCGGUGAAAUGCGUAGAUAUCGCUUGGAACGCCGAAGGUGAAAACAGGCUGCUGGGGUUGCGCCGACGCUGAGACACGAAAGCCAGGGGAGCAAACGGG
rnacentral:rRNA from 1 species